rnacentral:rRNA from 1 species
GUGGGGAAUAUUGGGCAAUGGGCGAAAGCCUGACCCAGCAACGCCGCGUGAAGGAAGAAGGUCUUCGGAUCGUAAACUUCUAUCCUUGGUGAAGAUAAUGACGGUAGCCGAGAAGGAAGCCCCGGCUAACUACGUGCCAGCAGCCGCGGUAAUACGUAGGGGGCAAGCGUUGUCCGGAAUGAUUGGGCGUAAAGGGCGCGUAGGCGGCCUGGUAAGUCUGGAGUGAAAGUCCUGCUUUUAAGGUGGGAAUUGCUUUGGAUACUGUCGGGCUUGAGUGCAGGAGAGGUAAGUGGAAUUCCCGGUGUAACGGUGAAAUGCGUAGAGAUCGGGAGGAACACCAGUGGCGAAGGCGACUUACUGGACUGUAACUGACGCUGAGGCGCGAAAGUGUGGGGAGCAAACAGGAUUAGAUACCCGAGUAGUCC